rnacentral:rRNA from 1 species
AUGGAGAGUUUUGAGAAGCAGGCAAGGGGUUGCUAUUCUGAGGAAGUUUCUCUGGAAAGUGACAUGUUCCUGCGAAUGCUCCUGCUUGAUGGAUGCUUUGUGCUUGUUUAUCUUGGUGGAACGAACGACUUAGAUUGGUGUGUUAAUGAACAGAAUGCAAGUGGUAGUAAUUAUCAGGGGGGAGAACCGCUUCAAUACACAAUAGCACAACUGGAGGAGAUUACGGAGCAUGCAUCAAAUAAGGGAACAAGUACUGAAAGUAUGAGAUUGAUUGCUGGGACAUCAUCCGAUUUAUGUUCAGCAGAAGGUGUGGAACUUGAGCAUAUUAGUACAGCUGAACAAUGCUAUGAUCAGAAGCAUCCUGACCAACCCAAAUGUGACCCAAUUUCUGAAUGGCAUCACGCCCAUGCAUUUCGCGACCUACUUCUUCUUGAGAACCAAUUACCUUUUUCCAUUGUGAAGAGAAUAUAUGGGCUACUUGUGGGAGAAGAUGCUCUAGAUCUACUUACUGAAAAGGGCGAGGUGGAAAUUCCAUGCUUGCUUAUUGAUGAAAAUACCAUUUGCCUCUUCAGGAACUUGGUUGCAUUUGAGCAAACAUGCUCGCAGUAUGGAAAUGAUGUCACUUCCUAUUUCGCUUUUAUGUCCCAGCUUGUUAGUACCCCCUGUGAUGUUGCACUGCUUGCUCGCAAAGGAAUAAUCCUACACCACAUGCGUACCGAUGAAGAAGUGUCAACUCUUUUCAGCAAGCUGGGUAAGAAUGUGGACUUUGAUCAGAAUGUUUCGUUCAACGGUAAUGGCUUCGUCUUUGACGUGCCACCUUGGAGGUCCGCAAAGCUGUAUAUCAGCGAUGAAGCCGCGUCGAGCUCGGGUGAAAAGGUGAUCCGUCAUUUUUUCUUUUGGUGGCUGCUAUGUGGUGCAGGAGGCAGUUUCAACAACUGGAUGGAAAAGGCUCAAUGGAAUGACAUGGUUGCAACUGCCGGUCUGACAGCCUAA